GAUGAACGCUAGCUACAGGCUUAACACAUGCAAGUCGCGGGGCAGCAUGGGGGUUGCUUGCAAUCCCCGAUGGCGACCGGCGCACGGGUGAGUAACGCGUAUCCAACCUGCCCUUCACCACGGGAUAACCCGGCGAAAGUCGGACUAAUACCGUAUGUUGUCCAUUGACGGCACCCGAUUUGGACGAAAGGUUUGGCGGUGAAGGAUGGGGAUGCGUCCGAUUAGCUGGACGGCGGGGUGACGGCCCACCGUGGCGACGAUCGGUAGGGGUUCUGAGAGGAAGGUCCCCCACACUGGAACUGAGACACGGUCCAGACUCCUACGGGAGGCAGCAGUGAGGAAUAGUGGUCAAUGGGCGUAAGCCUGAACCAGCCAAGUAGCGUGCAGGAUGACGGCCCUAUGGGUUGUAAACUGCUUUUAUGCGGGGAUAAAGUGGCCCACGUGUGGGUUUUUGCAGGUACCGCAUGAAUAAGGACCGGCUAAUUCCGUG
rnacentral:rRNA from 1 species